rnacentral:lncRNA from 1 species
AGAAUGUGCUCUAAAUGCUCAAGGCAGAGACUGAAAACCUUGCAGUGAUUAGUAGCUCAGGCAGCUCCGGACAACUUCAUAUGAGAUUUUUUUUUAGAGUAGCUUUUCAGUAUCCCCUUCUUUUGCUGAUGAAUGUUGAAGCUGGAGACUCAUUUACAAAUCCCCGUUCAACAUUACUGUCUCCCAGACAACCUUCAUUAAUAAUGUGUCUCUGAAGCAGGCCUUAGCAGCUAAAGCAAUCAUUGCUCUAAUCCUUUUGAGCAGCAAAGGAAGUGGAAAAAUAGGCAGAGAAGCAGUCUUAGUCCACUCAGGCUGCUAUAACAGAAUACCAUAGACUGAGUGGCUUAUAAACAAUAGAAAUUCAUUUCUCACAGUUCUGGAGGCUGGGAAGUCCAAGAUCAAGGCACUGGCAUUUUCAGUGUCUGGUGAGGGCCCACAAGCCCCCACCUCCUAAUACCAUUAUGUUGGGGGUUAGGAUUUCAACAUAUGAAUUUGGAGGGGAAUACAAACUUUCAAACCAUAGCAGAUACCAAGAUGAGAAAGCUGUGGUUCCUUUUCUUAAGUAGCUUACCAGCUAAUGGGGAGAACGCAGUA